AUGGGGGAUGUUAGCUGGGAAGGGGCUCUUAGGGAGCAGUGGAUCUACGACAGGGACCAUAGCUCGUGCAUCACUCUGAUGCCGAGUGUAAAAGGAGAUGGAAAAUGUCCACCGUCCACUGCCUGGGGAGGAAACCAGGCUGCUCUCCAUGGGGUGUGAGGUCAUUGGGCAAAAGUCACCACGACAUGAAACGAGAAGGUCUGGGCGUGUGGAGAGAUCGCGGAAGAGGUAGUGAGAAAGCUGAUUUACAGCUCAUCAAUCCCAGACCCAAGGGUCCAGGACUCAAGACGAGGAGUCUUCCGGGAAGUUUUGGAGGUGGGUCUGGAGAACAGAUUCAGCCUCCAGAAGCUAUCCCCCUUCCCGCUCCAUCUUCCCUCUAAGGACGCCUUCUGGAAUGGAGACUGCUGUGCGUGGCACACAGUGGACAUCCAGUAAACACGUAUUGAAUGGAUAUUAAUUCAGAGAGACUUCCGGCACUGUCACUGCACGCCCAGCCUCGCUGUUACACAUCCCACACCACCCAAGGCUUCAUUGUCCCGUUCUGAAGAAUUCCUGACCCGGAUCAGCGCAGAACUCACCAACGAGGCCUUGUUGGUCGCUGGCUACCCCGUGAACAACGUGCCCACCAAGGAGAAACAGACACAAGACCAAGGGACUCAGCUGUCCAAACACGUGUUCUUCACCAACACCCGAGGAACUGACACCCGCUCUGACAGAAACCGUACCCGCAGCAAGGCACACCUCCUGCCAUCCCCUCGUGACAAGGGAGCUCUGCCCGGCAGCUUGACGUCUGGAGGAUGAGCCAGCCCUUAGGUACUGCCCUGGGCCUCUCCUGCCCACCUCCAUUCUCUCUCUCUCUAGAACAUGCCUCAGAGCUCCUCUGUCACAACUCAUUAGUCCCUUCAGUUUGUGGGGGACUCCUGGUCAUGAGCGGCACCACCCCUGAAACCUCCAAAAUGUUCUGGAACCACCACACAUCUUUCACACCUCAGCUGGCAAGGAUACCAGCAGGAGACCAGGCUUAAAUAAAGAGACAGAGAUCCUUCCCUCCGGCCAACCCAGCCACUGCCGUGGUGUGACUUCUCUGGCAUGGAGACACGGGAGGAGUGGCUUUUUCCCUCCCCACCCCACCCCCAUGUGUGGGCAUAUUAUUAGAAUGGUUUUCACUCAGGCCGUUUCGUGUCAACCCGCUGGCAGAGGUGAGCUCACGGAUCCCAAGCCAGCCUCCUAGCCGAACUUCAGCACCUCAAGGUCUAGGCCUGUGGCAUCUGACAAGGGCCCACCUCUGCCACCAACAUCAGUGCUCAGGUCUCCGCUCUGAGCUGUGGGGUCCCAUGCUGAUGGGACCAUACCAUGUCCAUCACUAGGCAGAGGCUUUGGACAGUUGCAUUUACUUCCCAGCCUGGCCACUUACGGUAGCUCUCGGAGGGAGGGAGUUCACAUCUCUGAGCGUGUUUCCUUACCUGAAAAUGGGAAUAAUUGUCCCUGCCAUGUGGGGUCCUUGUGAAAGGUACAAACAUCAUGCACACAAAA